CAGCAGCCGCCGCGGGAAAACGUAGGGUGCAAGCGUUAAUCGGAAUUACUGGGCGUAAAGCGUGCGCAGGCGGUUAUAUAAGACAGAUGUGAAAUCCCCGGGCUCAACCUGGGAACUGCAUUUGUGACUGUAUAGCUAGAGUACGGCAGAGGGGGAUGGAAUUCCGCGUGUAGCAGUGAAAUGCGUAGAUAUGCGGAGGAACACCGAUGGCGAAGGCAAUCCCCUGGGCCUGUACUGACGCUCAUGCACGAAAGCGUGGGGAGCAAACAGGAUUAGAUACCCGUGUAGUCCCUGUCUCUUAUAC
rnacentral:rRNA from 1 species